rnacentral:rRNA from 1 species
AACGAACGCUGGCGGCAGGCUUAACACAUGCAAGUCGAGCGCAUCCUUCGGGGUGAGCGGCGGACGGGUGAGUAACGCGUGGGAACGUGCCCUCUUCUACGGAAUAGCCUCGGGAAACUGAGAGUAAUGCCGUAUACGCCCGCAAGGGGAAAGAUUUAUCGGAGGAGGAUCGGCCCGCGUUGGAUUAGGUAGUUGGUGGGGUAACGGCCUACCAAGCCGACGAUCCAUAGCUGGUUUGAGAGGAUGAUCAGCCACACUGGGACUGAGACACGGCCCAGACUCCUACGGGAAGCAGCAGUGGGGAAUCUUGGACAAUGGGGGCAGCCCUGAUCCAGCCAUGCCGCGUGAUCGAUGAAGGCCUUAGGGUUGUAAAGAUCUUUCAGCUGGGAAGAUAAUGACGGUACCAGCAGAAGAAGCCCCGGCUAACUCCGUG